UCGAACGAAGUAGCAAUACUUAGUGGCAGACGGGUGAGUAACAUGUGGGUAUCUGCCCUUUGGCCUGGAAUAACACGAGGAAACUUGUGCUAAUACCGGAUAAGUCUUUACGGAGAAAGCUUUAUGCACCAUUGGAUGAGCCUGCACUUGAUUAGUUUGUUGGUGGGGUAAUGGCCUACCAAGACUGUGAUCAAUAGCUGAUUUGAGAGGAUGAUCAGCCACAUUGGGACUGAGACACGGCCCAAACUCCUACGGGAGGCAGCAGUGGGGAAUCUUGCACAAUGGAGGAAACUCUGAUGCAGCGAUGCCGCGUGAGUGAAGAAGGCCCUUGGGUUGUAAAGCUCUUUCGUCGGGGAAGAAAAUGACUGUACCCGAAUAAGAAGGUCCGGCUAACUUCGUGCCAGCAGCCGCGGUAAUACGAAGGGACCUAGCGUAGUUCGGAAUUACUGGGCUUAAAGAGUUCGUAGGUGGUUGAAAAAGUUAGUGGUGAAAUCCCAGAGCUUAACUCUGGAACUGCCAUUAAAACUUUUCAGCUAGAGUAUGAUAGAGGAAAGCAGAAUUUCUAGUGUAGAGGUGAAAUUCGUAGAUAUUAGAAAGAAUACCAAUUGCGAAGGCAGCUUUCUGGAUCAUUACUGACACUGAGGAACGAAAGCAUGGGUAGCGAAGAGGAUUAGAU
rnacentral:rRNA from 1 species